UACGUAGGGUGCAAGCGUUAAUCGGAAUUACUGGGCGUAAAGCGUGCGCAGGCGGUUUUGUAAGUCUGUUGUGAAAUCCCCGGGCUCAACCUGGGAACUGCAUCUGUGACUGCAUCGCUGGAGUGCGGCAGAGGGGGAUGGAAUUCCGCGUGUAGCAGUGAAAUGCGUAGAUAUGCGGAGGAACACCGGUGGCGAAGGCGGCCAUCUGGACGAGUACUGACGCUGAGACGCGAAAGCGUGGGGAGCAAACAGG
rnacentral:rRNA from 1 species